rnacentral:rRNA from 1 species
ACGGCUGAGUAACGCGUGGCCAACCUGCCCUGCGGAGGGGGAUAACCCCGGGAAACUGGGGAUAAACCCCCAUAGGUGACCAGGUCUGGAAGGACCGGUCGCCGAAAGUCCCGGUCGGGGAUGCUCCGGCCGGGAGCCGCAGGAUGGGGCUGCGUCCUAUCAGGUAGUUGGUGGGGUAACGGCCCACCAAGCCUGUGACGGGUAGGGGCCCUGAGAGGGGGAGCCCCCAGAUGGACUCUGAGACAAGAGUCCAGGCCCUACGGGGCGCAGCAGGCGCGAAAACUCCGCAAUGGGCGAAAGCCCGACGGGGUUACCCCGAGUGCCACCCUCGUGGUGGCUUUUGCCCGCUCUAAAAAGGCGGGCGAAUAAGGGGAGGGCAAGUCGGGUGUCAGCCGCCGCGGUAAUACCCGCUCCCCGAGUGGUGGAGGCUAUUACUGGGCCUAAAGCGCCCGUAGCCGGCCCGGUGUGUCCCUUGUUAAAUCCACGGGCUUAACCCGUGGGCUGCGGGGGAUACUACCGGGCUUGGGGGUGGGAGAGGCGCCCGGUAUUCCCGGGGUAGGGGUAAAAUCCUCUGAUCCCGGGAGGACAUCAGUGGCGAAGCGGGGCGCCAGACACGCCCGACGGUGA